ACCCAUAAAUGUAUCUUUUCCAAUUAAUGAUCCAAAUAGCUUUCCCCGCGGGGUCCUCAUAAAGUUAGGUUGAUAAAGUUGUGUGAACGUGGUAAAACUCUAAAAACCAUAUUGCUAAGAUGCAAAACAAAAGGUGGAAAGUGAUGCAAAAUUUGGAAUUCUACAAUGGAAAAAAUCCCUAUCAAGUAUUUGGGGCUGAAAAUGCAAUUGCCUGUUAUUCAAGGGAGAAUGGCAACUGAUGUUGGAUGUAGUUAGAGAUGUUCUUUCGGCUAGGCAAAGAGGGUUCCUAGGGCAUUUGGGACGUUUGGUAUUGGUUUAGUCAAGAAUCUCAGCGAGUUCCACUUAGGAUGUAUGAUGUCGUGAUGGGUCAUAUUGUGAUGACAGAGCACAUGUGUCAUGAUCAUUUGACGAGGUAUCUGAAUGCUUCUCAUGCUUCAAAUACCGCUCAUUCCAAACAGGUCGAUGCAUGCAUGUUUGUGGGCUGAUGAAUAUCCAUGGUAGCGCAUGAAACAUCAUUUAUCGUCCAUAUAGAGUGCUUAGCUAGCUCUAUAUGCAAACUUCAUGCUUAUAUAGGAACAACAAACUAACGCUAACUAGUGCAGGCUCGGUGCAGGAUAGAUCACAUGUGCAAAAAAGAGGAAGUGUAUGCACCACAAAACUAGAUACUCAAUACUUGUACCUCAAAGAUUUAUAUAGCCAAGGUGUUGUAUGUGGCAGAGAAAAAGUGGUAGUAAACUACAGACCGUCGGGCUAUAAGAGUAUUUAAUAUCGUCGUCCUAUGUAAUGGGAAUGGAUUCUCUCUUGACCAUAUUAAUGUAUGUAUAGGAACAUGGUAGGGAGAUGUGUACAUGAACAUUACGCUAGUAAACUUAUCGUUGCACAAAACACAUGCUCACUUAAAUUGUAAAGAAAAUAGGCACUAAAUAUGGCCAUCCACCAUCAAUUCUUAGUGAACGUUUUUUAGGAAUUUCUGAAAUCUUUGAUAUGGU
rnacentral:lncRNA from 1 species